CCUGGAUCUUUUGUCUCCCCCUAUCCAGGUGGACUCACCUCAGGAACUGAGGUUGCCGGAAGAUCAGUCCGGGCUGAUUACCAAGGAGAUCUCGGAACUUCUGGCCAAAUGGGCAAUACAAGAAGUCCCGUACGAUCAUACGGGAUUUCUAAGCAACCUGUUCCUCGUCGCCAAGAAAGGCGGAGGUGUUCGGCCGGUGAUCAAUCUCAAGCGACUCAACGGAUUCCUUCGUUACCAUCACUUCAAGAUGGAGGGCAUACAUUGCCUCAGGGAUCUGCUUCGGCAAGGGGAUUGGAUGGUCAAGCUAGACCUCAAGGACGCAUACCUGACUAUACCUAUGGCAGAGGUACACUGGGACUUAUUGCACUUUACGUGGCAAGGACGUCGGUGGAGGUUUACCUGUCUGCCCUUCGGUCUCUCUUCAGCACC